GAGAGUGGUGACUCAGAGGUUAAAGCUUUGGACUAUUGAUCAGAUGGUCGAGAGUUCGAAUCGUACCACUGCCA